rnacentral:rRNA from 1 species
GACGAACGCUGGCGGCGUGCUUAACACAUGCAAGUCGAACGGUGAAGCGCCUUCCUUUUUGGUGGGUGUGGAUGAGUGGCGAACGGGUGAGUAACACGUGAGUAACCUGCCCCCUUCUUCUGGAUAACCGCAUGAAAGUGUGGCUAAUACGGGAUAUUCUGGGUCUGUCGCAUGAUGGGUCUGGGAAAGAUAUUGUUUCGGUGGGGGAUGGGCUCGCGGCCUAUCAGCUUGUUGGUGGGGUGAUGGCCUACCAAGGCGGUGACGGGUAGCCGGCCUGAGAGGGUGGACUGCCACACUGGGGCUGAGAGACGGCGCAGACUCCUACGGGAGGCAGAGGUGGGGAAUAUUGCACAAUGGGCGCAAGCCUGAUGCAGCGCCGCGGCGCGUGAGAUGGGGGUCUUCGGGUGGUUAACCUCUUUCGCCAGAGAAGCAGGACAGCCGCGUUUGGUGGUGGGUUGACGGUAGCUGGAGAAGAAGCGCCGGCUAACUACGUG